UACGUAGGGUGCGAGCGUUGCCCGGAUUUAUUGGGCGUAAAGGGCGCGUAGGCGGCCACGCACGUCCGUUGUGAAAUCGCCCGGCUCAACUGGGCGGGGUCAGCGGAUACGGUGUGGCUCGAGCAAGCUAGGGGGGCAAUGGAAUUCCCGGUGUAGUGGUGGAAUGCGUAGAUAUCGGGAGGAACACCAGUGGCGAAGGCGGUUGCCUGGAGCUUUGCUGACGCUGAGGCGCGAAAAGCGUGGGGGAGCGAUCCGG
rnacentral:rRNA from 1 species